CCCUCAUUGAAGGCCUGGCAGUGGAGGUGAGGGGCUCUCCCUGGAGCUCUCAGUGUACCUGCAGCCUUCAGGAGCAUGAUACCAUCCCAUGGCACCUCCAUCUCCCGGUGCGCCACCAUCACUGGGCAUCUCAUCCUGUCCGUGGCAUUUCCAUCCUCCCAUCUGCCUCCAACCCCAUGGACCCCCCCUCUGAGCCAGCCUGGAGUCCUGCAGCCCCUUCCUUUGCCAGACUGUUCCCGUGGGGCGGCUGUGUGUCCCCGUGGGGCAGUGGAAGGCCUGGGAGUGCAGGGAUGGAGGGUUGGAGCUGCAUCCAUGGAUGGAGCUGUUCCUAUUGAUGGAGCUGCACCCGUGGAUGAGAUGACAGCAGGGAUGGAGCUGUACCCACGGAUGGAGCCAUACGGAGAUGGAGCUGCGCCCGUACCCACGGAUGGGAUGGAGUGACCCCACGGAUGAGGGCCGUACCCCACGGAUGAGGGCCGUACCCCACGGAUGGAGCCAUGUGGGGACGCAGCCGCACCAACACGAGAUGGUUUCACCUCUCCAAAUCAACACACGCUGCUGCAGCCUCCGCCGUCCUCUCCCUCCACCCCUCCCCGCUCUGCCCCACACGCAGCACCCCACGGCCAUCCCUGCCCUCCUCACCCCCGGGACCCCCAGCAAAGCCACCGCAGCGUUUGCUCGGUGCCGGCCGUUCCUGGAGCUCUCACACCGUGGCCAACUGCACGCUGUGCGCCCGGGGACGUCACGGCCGAUCCCUCGCUCCGCUUCCUCGAAGGCCGUCUGCUGCGUGCCAGGGUGACGCUGGCGGCUCGGGGCUGACCUGCUUUUUCUCCUCCAGCCCUCGCUUUGAAUCCCUCCGGCCGGCCCGGCCCUCUGCACGGCUCCGAGAGCGCCGACGGCUUCCUGUGUGGGCGGUGGAAUUUGGCACCCGGCUGUGGGGAUGGAGCGGCCAAUGUACAACGCCCGGCACCGUGCGCCCAGCAACGCCGUGCAACGAGCAACACCGUGCAUGCAUCCUGCACUGUGCACCCAGCAACACUGCACCCAGCAAUGCUGUGCACCCAGCAAUGCCGUGCAUGCAUCCUGCACUGUGCACCCAGCAACGCUGUGCACCCACCAAGGCUGUGCAUGCAUCCUGCACUGUGCACCCACUAAGGCUGUGCACCCACCAAGGCUGUGCAUGCAUCCUGCACUGUGCACCCAGCAACACUGCACCCAGCAAUGCCGUGCAUGCAUCCUGCACCGUGCACUCACCAAUGCUGUGCAUGCAUCCUGCACUGUGCACCCAGCAACACUGCACCCAGCAAUGCCGUGCGCCCAUCCUGCACUGCGCAUCCAGCAAUGCCGUGCAUGCAUCAUGCACUGUGCCCCCAGCAACACUGUGCACCCAGCAACACUGCACCCACCAAUGCUGUGCACCCACCAAUGCUGUGAACGCAUCCUGCACCAUGCACACACCAGUGCUCUGCACCCAGCAAUGCUGUGCACGCAUUCUGCACCGUGCACCCAGCAACACUGUGCACCCACCAAUGCUGUGCAUGCAUCCUGCACUGUGCACACAUCAACGCUGUGCACCCAGCAACAUGACACCCAGCAAUGCUGUGCAUGCAUCCUGCACCACGCACCCAGCAACACUGAGCACCCAGCAGCACCGUGCACACAUCCAGCACCAAUGCACCCACCAACACUGCACCCAGCAAUGCUGUGCAUGCAUCCUGCACCGUGCACCUACCAACGCUGUGCACCCAACCAGCACCGUGCAACCAUCCAGGGCUGUGCGCCCACCCAACACCAUGCACGCAUGUGGCACUGUGCACCCAUCCAGCACCCAAAAUCACGCACCCACCAACUCUGUGCACCACCACCAACGUGCACACAUCACCCACGCAGCACCAUGCACCCACCCUGCUGCACACGGAGGGCACACAUUGCACUUGCUUGCAUGUUGCACACCUGGCAGGCACAUAACAUGUUGCACGCCUAGAGCACGUUGCAUGCUUUGUAUGCAUGUUGCACGUUGAGAUCACGCGCUGCAUGCUUUAUAUGCACGUUGCAUGCUGACAACACAUGUUGCACGCUAUAUGCACACUGCAUGUUGCAUGCUGAGCAUGCGUGUUGCACACUGGUCGUGCAUGCUGCACUGUGCACCCUGCUGACCCCAUGCACCCACCAGCACCGUGCAGGAGCUGCAUGCACCGGGGCUGCCCACACACCCUAAUAGCAACGUGUGGCCUCUCCAGGAAGACCCUUUGUUCCCCCUCCACCCCAUAAGUGCGGUCCCCUCCUCCUUCUGUGCUUAUGGGGGGGUCCCGGUGCUGCCCAUGCUGUAACCCCAAUAAUGCCCAUGGUGUAACCCCAAUGGUGUCCGUAGUGUAACACCACUUCUGUCCAUGGGAUACCCCAAUGCUGCCCAUGGUGUACCCCAAUAGUUCCCAUGGUGUACCCCACUACUGCCCAUAGUGUAACCCCAAUAGUGCCCAUAGUGAAACCCCAAUGCUGCC
ensembl:lncRNA